UCAGGCUGAUGGUUACUUGGUUGCAGAAGUUUACUGGCCAUUGCUGUUGGCAUGGAGAUAGUCUAGGUUGAAUGCAAACAGGCCAUUCUGAUGUCAUGUGUGAUGUCACAAAGAGGAUAUGCUUUAAGUCUUGGUAAAGCCAGAAACAGUUAACAGUCAGACUGCAUCUCAACAUUGUCAAGCUGGAACUCCAUAACAGGUUCAGAAGGAGCUCCUGCUUUAAGUCUGGACCAUCUAAGAAUGCUCAAGUCUUUGAAAGCAUCUUAACAUCAAAUAUUCCUUAGCAUGAAAUGAUAACACAUCAGAGAGAAUACUUGGCCUCUGUAACUUUAGAGGGUUGCUUGAAAUUUGGGCAAUGACUGAAAAAAAAUAUCAGAAGCCAUCUGGUUUCUUGAGCCUCCCUAUGACAAGCUGCAGAAUGCUAGAAUAUGCAAAAUAAACAACUUUAUGCAGCUCUGA